UGUUCAGAAAAACAGAAAUUUGAUCAGCUCAAUCCUAUUCAUAUAUGAAAGUUAGUGAUGGAGAAACAGCUUCACUUGAUCCUGAUGUACUAUUGAGAAGUCAGGAGUUCAACUAGACCUGCAAUUCAACUCCACGGUGACCGCACUCUCGCCUGAAACGACCAAAACACAAUGAUCUCUCACAACAAGCUAAUUCGACUUGUUUUGCUAUUUACGAUGCUAAAGAACUCUUAUCCCGUUCUGCAUUCUUUCUCAAAUUAGCAGAUAGCCACUAUCGCUUAAUGCACUUCUCACUCGAGUUUUGCAUUAAUACUAACAGGAAAAGUCAUGAGAAUCAACCACUCAUAACCGCCAUGUAAAUAUUGCCCGUAAUACUAUAUCUCAGCUAAGCUAGAAAGCUCUUCAAACAGAAGCUUUUUUGGUCAGUAAAGAAUUCUGCUCCAUGUCAACUAUGGCCUACUAUUAUCCAAGAUUAUAUACAAAUGUAUCACUCGCUACUUUAUCAUAGUUGCUCUAGAAAACAUUUAAAGCAGGUUUCUUCUCCCGAAUGAACAUUUGAUUCACACCUUCAGCUUCAUAAGAUUGGAAAAAUAGGCUAGGAGGCUAAUAUAUAUUUCUGUACAACGCCACUUCAAAAUGUGACAGACUCUACCACAAGAAACUGCAUACUUCUUAGAAAAAGGGGAAAAGAAAAGAAAAAAAUUUCAUGCUGGCGAUGCAGUUAUGUAUAAUGAUUCCCAUCGACAUUGCCACAGAAAAGGGCAUUUACCUGGCCGUCGUACCACCCAGUCUCCUCAUCUGAAAGUGUAAAUAGGCAAAUAGACCAUUAGUUCAUCAAUUUUAUACGUCAUUGGAAACCAAAUUACAACACUAACUAUGCCUGCACAAGGUUUCCAAGAAGGCGGAUUCACAAGAAGAAAUGGAACCAAGCACAUCCUAUAGACUUUUCUCAGCACAACCAACAAGCACCCAAUGGAAUUUAACUGUCCUUGCUGGAAGGCACAGCAAUUCGUUGCAGCAAAUUUCCAAGAAACCAGACGACCCCAAUUCACAAGAAGAAAUGGAAACAAGCACAUCCUAUAGACUUUUCUCAGCACGACCAACAAGCACCCAAUGGAAUUUAACUGUCCUUGCUGGAAGGCACAGCAGUUCGUUGCAGCAAAUUUCCAAGAAACCAGACGACCCCAAUUCACAAGAAGAAAUGGAAACAAGCACAUCCUAUAGACUUUCCUCAGCACGACCAACAAGCACCCAAUGGAAUUUAACUGUCCUUGCUGGAAGGCACAGCAGUUCGUUGCAGCAAAUUUCCAAGAAACCAGACAACCCCAAUUCAUUAUAAAAAGAUCCUACUUCUUUCAAGUAAUGAUACCGGCUUUUUCAUCGUUAUGUGAAUACCACCUUCCAUGCUAGUAGAUUUUUCUCCGCCGAUUGAUAAUUCUCCUAUUUCGACCUAACUUUCCAGAGAUUAAUUUACCCACAUGACAGAGAUUAUAAAGGAGAGAGAAGAGAGCAACUAUUAC
rnacentral:lncRNA from 1 species